GGCUGCGUUUUAGGGAUUUCAAUCCCUAUCGAAACACACACCUUUGAUCUAAAAGAGAGAGGAGUGUUGACCCUAAUAUUCAGGCCUAUUCGUCAACAGUUUCUAACGACUUUUUCUGGCGACGAGGUGAGAGGAAAGUUAGAGUGAAGGAGGCUUGUUCACCAACCUUGAUUCUAGUGACUUUCGAUCAAGAGAUAAAUAGGAUUUAUGCCCUUUCUCUGUCUGAUAUCAGUUCCUGUACAAUUAGAGGGAGCCUCCCUUUGUCAUGGGUUUGAUCACAAGAAUAUAUUGAGAUGAUUUCAUGAAGUGAAGUUUAGAAUUGCGAUAUUAUGUUGAUUGUAUAAUAUCAAGUUGAGUUGCUUUUGAUUGAUUAAUAUGCUGAUGAUGAGAUUGUUAUCAAUGACAUGUGAAUUUGUGUACCUGAAUUACUAUAAAUGGUGAAUGGUAUGAUGAUAUUGAGAAGAAGGGCUUGAUGUGCGUUUUUUCAUUGUAAUAUUGAUAGUUUGAAUUGAUAAUGUCUUGAGUUGGUGCUUAAUGAUCAUUUGGAUUUUUAUUUGUGUCAAGAAUUGGAUUAUGCUGAUGUGUUGACCAUUAUUUCAUGCCAAAGAAUGUUUAGGCAGUGAAUAAACAUGUUAAGGUCUUCUCAAUUGCUUUCUAAGUUUGAUACACAACCGUAUGGUAUGAGAUACAGACCCAUGUAAGUGAAUUCCAGAUUUUAGGUUGAGGUUUUGGCAUUUUGGUGACCGUUGGAUGCCAUUGACCAAUGAUCAGUCAACUAGGACAUAUGAACUACCUGUGUAUAGUUUUAGAGCGGUCGUGUGUGGGGUGAAAUCACUAGAAUACCCCUAAUAAAUAAGGUAAUCUGGAUGAGUAUAUAAAAGGAAAGUGAAUUAAAUAUUUGAAGGGCACAUGGUUUAGUUUUAGAGAGGUCGUGUGUGCUGCUUUUCUCUUCUAUCUUAACUUUAGUUACUGUUGUUUGUUAGUUUGCUCAUUUCCCAUCAAUGUGGUGGGUUUAGUUAGGUUGAGCAGUCUUCUCUAUAACAAAUGAACUUUGAUUUAAUUGUCUAGAGAUUGACAAAAUCUGAAGUGUAAUUAAUUGUAGUAGAAGUAAGAGUAGAAGGAUUACCCGAAAUACAUCAACUGAAACUUGAUUCUGCAAUGCAUACUGGUUUGAAUCUUGUUCAACAAAUUCUUAUAAUUAGAAUCAAAUUUAACAUUAAUUUUAUAUUGAUUAAAGUUCAUUUCCUAGCAAUGAAAGAGCGUGGUAUGUUAUGUAAGAAUUCAAUUCAAUUGUAAAUAUUUAUACCAUUUGAACAAUAUUUGGAUGUAAAAUACUUUCUUCUUUCUUCACUGGCUUGAUGUCCCCUUACCAUAAUCACAACAUAGUCUGUUUAGAUUCACAUCAGAAAAAUGGUAACCGAAAAUGCAGGGGAAUACAGAGCAUGGAAUUGCAGCGGAAAAGGAAAAGCAGACAAGGUGUGCAAUUUCAGUGUGGCAAGGUUGCAUGCCGAUGAACUCUUAGCAAAGGAGACACAUGUCAUAUGCUCAUAAUUUUGUAUGAAGAAAGCAUACAUGUGGUUGAAAAUUUGUAAUGGAAAACUGAGGUGAAAACAAGUUUGGGAACAGAAGAAAUAAUCAUGAAUGAGAAAGGAGAAACGGCUGCUGCUUGCAUCAACAAUUGGGUCAAGCGUCUGUGUUCUGAAGAGAAUUUUUAGGGAAUAUGCAUAUAUAUCAAGGCUGUUUCUAUCAUACAGUCCUUGUAUCAACUGGAGGUUACAUCAACUCUAUGGUUGACAUGAUUCAGAAAGAGUUGGAGAAUUUUCUAAGCCUGAGGAGUUGCAUUUAAGUUAUGGAUAUACUCUUCUUGUAUAUGAUUCUUUUGCAGCAAAAAAUCAGUAAAUAUAUUAAAAUUUGACUUGCCUGGGUUGUGGUCACUAGAUGGGUUAGCUCUCUACAACUUUUUCUGUUACAUCUAUAUGUGGAACAACAGAUAAUAUAAUUCUUUACUGCCCAUGGAGUAUCAUUUAGUUAUGUUAAGAAUGCUUGUGAUCCGUACAAAGACCAGAUGGAGAAGCGCAUAACUUCAAAGGCUGAGGAUUUGGCAACAAUCAUAGUCUGACAUGCCAGGUUGGGCACUGUAAUGUUUGGUUGGUUAAUUCCUACACUGAUGAUGUUCUUGUUGAGCUUGGCCAAAAAGUUUCUAUGAGUCUUCUUGCAUUUCCAGUCAGCUUUGUGAGUGUACGCAUACAAACAUUUAAAAGAGAUUUGCAAGGAGUACAGGGAGUUAGCUCUUGAAUCCAGCAUUCAAAAGUGGGGACAUGUACCCGCCUUCAACAAACAGAAAUAAUCAUGAAUGAGAAAGGAGAAAAGGCUGCUGCUUGCAUCAACAGAGAAGAUGGUGUUCCUAGCUUAAACGAUAUGAAACUUACUUUGUUUCAGCAGGAGAUUUUAUCCACAGUUCUCUAUCUCUACAACUGGGUCAAGCCUCUGUGUUCUGAAGAGAAUAUUUAGGGAAGAUGCAUACCUAUCAAGGAUGUCUGUUUCUAUCAUGGGGUCCUGUUAUCAACGAGAAGGUUACAUCAAGGCUAUGGCUAACUUGAUUCACAAAGAGUUGGAGAAGUUCUCAAAGCCUUAGGUGGUCAUGAUAUUCUUUAGUUCCUAUGGAACCUUAAAGGCCAAGGAAUUGGCAACGAUCAUACUCUGACAUACCAGCCUUGUGAGUGAACACAUAGAAACACUUGAAGAGAUUGACAUGGAGAACAGGGUGUUGGCUCUUGAAUCCGACAUUCAAAACCGGGGAUGUGUACGUGCCCUCAACUGCAAAUCUUCCUUCAUCAUGAAUCUGCAAUGAAGACGUCCAUGUCUUUGUGAGAUAUGCUAUCAAAAUGAGGAAUUGCAGAUGAAUUGAAAGCAGCUAGAAAUGAAGUAAAUGACUGCAUCCCAUUCCCAGAUACAAAUUGAGAGCCAUACUCUUCAAAAGCAGAGUGAAGGUCAUGAUGAAAUUUAGCAGAUAUCAAAGGGAAGGAAAUUAACUGAAAGUGAUGCUGUGUCCCACCAAUUGGAUUACUAUGUUGUCGGUUCAUGACAAAUCGUCGCAGUUUUCACAGAUUCAUGAAAUCAUUUUAUAGUAUGGGACCUUGUUAGAAUAUUUCUAAAUAAAAUUUAAAAAUUUUUUACA